rnacentral:tRNA from 1 species
GGCUCCGUAGGUUAAUGGCAGACCAUCCGGCUCUCAACCGGAAAACACCGGAUCGUAACCGGUCGGAGCUA